UAAUAAGUGUUUUAUGGCACUUUUUAAAUCCAUAUCCACCUUGUGUGCAAUGUCAGUCGAUCUUCUUCAUGGAGAUCGACCAAACAUCAACCUUUAUUUUUUAACUCUUUGUCUGAUAACAUAUUAUGAAUAUACUUAAUUCAAAAUA
rnacentral:misc_RNA from 1 species